AUACACGAUAACAUUGCGUGGGAUCACACCAUUUACUGAGACGGUGCUCAAGGAUUCGGUACUCUUUCUCAGUUCCUCAGUGGCUAAUGUGAAGUGUUGAUAGCUGCGGCGCCAGAGCCUCAGAAGUACUCCGGUGGGCCACGCCUUUACAGCAGGGUACGAUGGGCUCAACUCCCGACGGAGCCUUUAAUGUGACCCUUCAGCCACCACCACCACCAACACCAAUAUCACUACCACGCCAUCUACCACGACGACCAUGAGAGACGACCACCAGCCAUAAUUUCUUGGAACAGAGUACAACUUAAAGCUGAGCUGGGCUGAAAUUUCUCUCCGAGGCGCGGGAGGACGAGGGUGAAAAUGCGAAUGAACUUAAAUUUUUUAUGCACGAGGGAGUGUAAAAAUGCAAGGAGGAAAACUUAAAUGAGGAGAGAAAAA